CCAACUUCAGACCCCCCUCCUUACCACACACACUCUCUUACAAACACACACACACUCGCACACACACACACGCUCUCUGUACUGUUUGGGAUCUUGCGUGUGGAGCUGGAUUGGAGCCGAAGGAGCUGCAGGGUCGAUAGUAAUUAAGAUUUCUCCAUAGACUGAGAGUGAAGUGCUGAACCAAGUGGAGAUAAUGGAGCUUUCUUUAGCAGCAGUGCUCUGCUCUUCCUUCUUAGUUCCAGCUCUGGGCCGAAAGUGCCGCUGCAGAGGAAGCCAGGCGUCAAAGCCAGUGGGACCUGACCCAGAAGCAGCCAAAGGAAGAAAUUAAGCUACAACAACAGUAAGCAGAUGAGCAGAGACCGUUGCCACCAGAGGGACACGACAACACUGGCAGCCUUGUGAUCAGCAGCAGCAGCAGCAUCAGGAUGACGGGAGGCUCGAUAGAAUCCGCUUCUUCUUGAAUUUCUCACUUUCAUGACUGUCUUUCACACUGCCGUUUAUCCUGUAGCAGACCUGCUGUCAUAUUAAGUCACUCUGAGCAGGAAAGUAUUAGCGAGUUUUAGUUUAGAUUACUGUGUGCUAGCAGCUGAGAUAGCAGCUUUUUAAUGCUUUUGUAAAAAAAACUACAGCUUAUGUAGAUUCUGUAGCAUGCAGAAUGUUCAGGCAGCAUUCACUUUUAAAUGGUAGCAUUUUAUACAUUUUGUAAAGUCUUCAUCAUUGUUUGUAAAGCAGUGAUUCACUGAUGAGCCAAAACGAACGUUUUGAGCUAAAAUUCAAGUUUAGAGAACACAUGACUGACAGCCUGUUUUCUUUUUUUUGUUGUUGUUUUCUUUUGUUUUGUUUUUUUCUUUUUUAAUCAAAUAAACUUUAUUUAGACU
rnacentral:lncRNA from 1 species